AUAACUUUCUCUCAUCACAUAGGUCUGCUGACGUACGUAAAUUGCCGAAGUGUACGCUGGGCAAUGCGAGUUCAAGACAUCUUCACUGGAGCGAAGCUUUUCCCAUUAGCUGCUAUAAUCAUUGGAGGUUCUGUCAUUAUAGGCCAAGGCCACACUAAAUAUCUGGAAAAUGCUUUUGAAGGCGAAUUCACCGCUAAAUCCAUUUCAUUAGCCUUCUAUUCCGGUCUCUUUGCCUACGGAGGAUGGAACUAUUUGAAUUUUGUCACUGGCGAACUGAGAGAUCCAUAUAA